UUCAGGAUGGCCGAGCGGUCUAAGGCGCCAGACUCAAGGACAUAAUCCUUGCAUCAAUAAAAGAAGUUGCAGUAUUCUGGUCUUCAAUGAAGGCAUGGGUUCAAAUCCCACUCCUGACA
rfam:Daphnia pulex DAPPTscaffold_1042_Cont11755, whole genome shotgun sequence.